rnacentral:lncRNA from 1 species
AAUACAGGAUAAGCAACAGAGUUUUCUCUCUGUUAUAAGUUAUAGAAAGUAAAUAAGUUAAUAUAGGAAGUAAAUAUUGAUAGAUGGGUCAGAUGCUUAAUCUUAGAGAUUGUAUAAUCAUAGGUUUGAUUUUCCUUCCUGUUUAGAUACCGUCUCUCAUUUAUAAAUAAGUUGUAAUCUCUAUUGUGAGACAAUAACAAAAUAUUAUCUUUCUACAUGGUAUCAGAGUCUUUCUCAUAGAGAUUUAAUUUUUUCUCUCUCUCGUCAAGUUUUAAAUUUUUUUUUUUUUGGAAGACUUAGGGCUCUGUUCAUUUGGGUUACCCAUAAAGGGUAACAUUUGGAUCUCACCAUCGUUAGAGUCGCCACACCGUCCCCUUGUCAGAUCUGAAGUUUGUUUGCCGUUCGGGUGUUGAGUGGAGGUGUUUUAGGUACUAUUCAUAUUCGGGUACUGUUCAUUGGCACUGUUCGCGGGUACUGUUCAUCGGUACUGUUCACGCCGGGUACUGUUUUCUGAUUCUGUAUUUCUUUUGUUGCUAUCGUUUUGGGUUGGUUGUCCUUAUGGCUGAAGUUAAAACCACCACGAUAACUGAUGUGAUUCCUAUGAUGACUAAAAUCAUGGAACACAAAUUGAAUGGAUCUUCCGAUCAGGAAAUUUUGAUAUCUGCAAAUGAGUAUGCACAAUUCAUCCAAUACCAGGCAUCUCUAAAAUCCUCUAAUUCCUCCUCUAUCACUACAAUUGCCGAGUCAGGUAACUCUACUGCAUGUCUUGUGUCUUCAUCCUCCAAAUGGGUUAUUGAUUCUGGUGCUACCGAUCAUAUGUCAGGUAAUUCUACCAUUUUGUCCAAUCUUGAGUCUCAUACAUCGCCUUCUUAUGUUACUCUUGCCGAUGGCACUAAAUCUUCUGUCAUGGGUUCCUCUUUCUGUAUCUUCUGUGUUAUGUCUCCCUAAGUUCGCAUUUAAUUUGCUUUCCGUUAGUUAACUCACUCGUGCAUUGCAUUGUUGUGUCUCAUUCUUUCUUGAUUAUUGUAUUUUUCAGGAUCUUUCAACGAAGCAGAUUAUUGAUAGAGGGAGUGAGUCAGAGGGUCUUUACGUCUUGGAUCAGCAACUACCUCCAUCUCCUCGAUCUUUGGUAUGCUCCACGCGUUUAACACCUUUUGAUGUUCAUUGUCGUUUGGGGCAUCCUUCUCUCUCGGCUUUGAAGAAGUUAUACCCACAGUUUCAUUCUUUGUCUAUUCUAGAUUGUGAGUCUUGUCAAUUUGCCAAACAUCAUCGUCUACCUACAUUGUCUCGAAUCAAUAAACGGGCUUCGUCCCCCUCUGAGUUAGUCCAUUCAGAUGUUUGGGGUCCUUGUCCUGUUGUGUCUAAGUCUGGCUUUAAGUAUUUUGUUACCUUUGUUGAUGAUUUCUCUUAUACUACUUGGUUAUUUUUAAUGAAGAGUCAUUCAGAAUUAUUUUCUAUUUUUUGUGCAUUUUAUGCUGAAAUCCAAACCCAAUUCAGUACUUCCAUCCGUAUAUUGCAAAGUAAUAAUGCUAAAGAGUAUCUCUCUGGGGAAUUUCAAUCUUAUUUGUUACAAAAAGGGAUUCUUCAUCAGUCCUCUUGUGUUGCCACUCCUUCACAAAAUGGAGUUGCUGAAAGAAAAAAUCGACAUCUUCUUGAAGUAGCCAAAGCCCUCUUAUUCCAAAUGAAGGUACCUAAAUGUUUUUGGGCUGAUGCUGUAUCCACUGCUUGUUUUUUGAUCAAUUGCAUGCCUUCCUCCAUCCUUCAUGGUGAUAUCCCUUAUAACAUUUUGUUUCCCACUAAAUCUUUGUUUCCUAUUAAGCCACGUAUCUUUGGUUGUACUUGUUUUGUUCGUGAUGUUCGUCCACAGGUUACUAAAUUGGAUCCCAAAUCACUCAAAUGUGUCUUCUUUGGCUACUCUCGACGUUAGAAAGGGUAAUGUUGUUUUUCUCCAGAUCUGAAUCGGUAUCUUGUGUCUGCGGAUGUAACAUUCUUUGAGUCCACUCCGUUUUUUCCGCCAUCAUCUGUUUAUAACACCCAGGAGGAGGAAGAUGACCUCUUGUUAUAUACUGUUCGCUCUCUGUCUCCUCAGACUGCUCCUACACCUUUCGCCAGAUCGCCCUCCCAUCUUUCAUGUGUAUUCCAGAAGCUUAGAGGACUCUGACUCCGUUCCGCUACCCGCUUCUUCGUCGACCGAUCCUGCUCCCACGGAUCCUUCACUGUCUGAUUUGGAUUUGCCCAUUGCUCUUCGCAAAGGUAAACGUACUUACACUUAUCCUAUUUCAUCUUGUGUCUCUUAUGAUCAAUUAUCCUCCUCUUCUCGUUUUGUCACUGCUUUAGAUUCUAUUUCAAUUUCCAAAACUGUUAUUGAGACUUUGUCCCAUCCUAGUUGGCGUGCUGCAAUGGAAGAGGAAAUGAUAGCCCUUAAUACUAAUGGUACUUGGGAGUUGAUGUCCUUGCCCCCAGGAAAGCGGGCUAUUGGGUGCAAAUGGGUGUUUGCAGUGAAAGUAAACCCUGAUAGAUCUAUUGCUCGCCUCAAGGCCCGUUUAGUGGCCAAAGGUUAUGCACAAACUUAUGGAGUUGACUAUUCUAAUACAUUCUCCCCAGUUGCUAAGCUCGCAUUUGUCCGAUUGUUGAUUUCCUUGGCGGCUACUCAUGAUUGGCCUUUGCAUCAACUGGAUAUUAAAAAUGCUUUUCUUCAUGGUGAUCUUCAGGCGGAGGUUUAUAUUGAGCAACCACAUGGUUUUGUUGCUCAGAGGGAGUCAGGUAAGGUUUGUAGACUUCAAAAAUCCCUUUACGGCUUGAAAUAGAAUCCUCGGGCAUGGUUUGGCAGGUUUAGUGAGGUGGUCCAACAUUUUGGAACGAAGAUGAGUAAGUGUGAUCACUCAGUGUUUUAUAGAAAUUCUGAUAGUGGAGUAAUUUUGCUUGUAGUAUAUGUGGAUGAUAUCAUUAUUACAGGAAGUGACAUUGCUGGCAUCACAUCCCUAAAAGAAUUUCUUAAAACACAGUUUCAUACAAAGGAUUUGGGUUCCUUGAAAUAUUUCUUAGGAAUCGAAGUUAUGCGGUGUAAGAAAGGCAUCUUCUUAUCUCAAAGAAAAUAUGUUCUUGAUUUGUUGGCAGAAACAGGAAAAUUGGGUGCUAAGCCUUGUAGUGCCCCAAUGACCUCUAACCUUCAACUUACCACAGAAGACAGUGAGCCAUUUGCAGAUCCUGAAAAGUAUAAAAGAUUAGUUGGCAAGCUGAAUUAUUUGACGGUGACUCGUCCUGAUAUUGCAUAUUCAGUAAGUGUGGUAAGUCAGUUUAUGUCUUCUCCUAUUGUUGCCCAGUGGGAUGCUCUGGGACAUAUUCUUUGUUACCUUACAGGGGCCCCAGGGCGUGGCCUAUUCUAUGGUAACCAUGGGCACUCAAAUAUUAAAUGUUUUUCUGAUGCUCUGAUUGGGCAGGCUCGAAAGUUGAUAGGAGGUCAACUACUGGGUAUUGUGUUUUUGUGGGAGGUAACUUGGUCUCAUGGAAAAGUAAGAAGCAAAAUGUGGUCUCCCGUUCUAGUGCUGAAUCUGAAUAUCGAAUCAUGGCAUAAGCCGUUUGUGAAAUCUUGUGGGUACGUCAACUGUUGAAAGAAGUUGGAUUCACAAAUUCGGUGCCUGCUAAGUUGUGGUGUGAUAAUCAAGCAGCCAUCCACAUUGCCUCCAAUCCAGUAUUUCACGAGAGGACUAAACACAUCGAGAUUGAUUGUCAUUUUAUUCGUGAAAAGGUCCAACAAAAGAUAAUAUCAACAUGACAUAUCCGAACUGGAGAACAAUUAGGAGAUAGUUUCACUAAAGCUCUGAAUGGGACUCGAGUUGAUUAUAUAUGUAACAAGUUGGGCAUGAUUAACAUUUAUGAUCCAACUUGAGGGGGAGUGUUAUAAGUUAUAGAAAGUAAAUAUGUUAAUAUAGGAAGUAAAUAUUGAUAGAUGGGUCAGAUGCUUAAUCUUAGGGAUUGUAUAAUCAUAGGUUUGAUUUUCCUUCCUGUUUAGAUACCGUCACUCAUAUAUAAAUAGGUUGUAAUCUCUAUUGUGAUACAAUAACAAAAUAUUAUCUUUCUACACUUCCUAUCUUUAGGUUCAUUUUCAUAAAUUAGUUACAAAAUGAUCCCGGUAUGAAGCAAAAGAAGCUGUGCAGAAACUUUGUAUCCUAGUAUGCAAACCAUUACAGGAGAUUGGACACCAUGUUAAGGGUAAUACCAUCAGAAAUUCAGAAAAAGUUCCCUGUUCAUACCUUUUCCUGGUAUAAAUAUUAUACUCAAUUGGGCCUGGCUUGGCUCCCCAAAGAUAUAGUAAUCAGCCACUAAACAAGGAAUUGGGCAUCUUCAAUAUGUUUCCCCCAAAGUUUUAUCUAGAUCUUAAGCAUGGGAUAGCUUUCUAAAUUAUGUGGAUUGAUAUUGACUAGGAUAAAGAGUUCACAAUGAAAAAAAGAAGUGAGAAUUUAACGUGAUAGACUGCAUACUAGAUGUUCAAGACACGAUUGCUUUUAUUUUUGCAGUUGAGAAGUAUUG